GUAAUGAGGAAAAAAAGACCUUUGUAGCAUCAAAGAAAAAACAGCCAUCUACACAUUUAUGCAAUAUAAGCACAAGACACACCUGAGCAACCAGCUAUUCCACUCCGGAGGAUUGGCGGGGUGGGGGGACAGGGGACGGAUGUGAAUUAAAUUCUCUCAGCAAGGAGGAGAGGCAGAUCUACGAGCGCAGGACAGCCUCUUGACUUCCUUCUCACCAUGUGUCAGUGAGCAGAGAAGAGUCACAGAAUGGAGAAUUUUUUCUUUACUGUGCAAUUAGCCUCCACUUGGCCCUGUUAACUGCUUAACAUUUUUUUUAAGUGAACAUAUUUUGAGAGUACAUAAAAAUGUAAACCACUUAUGAGAAUUUCCAUGCUACUGUCUCAGUUCAAACUCUUUAAAACUUAUUUUUAACCAAUUCUUCACAAAUAAAAUAUAAUCUAAUUGCUCUCUAUUAUCUUUUGGUUUGUAUUUCCUUCUGUUUCUACACAUCUUAUUUCUCGCUUCCCCUUCAGUACAAUACCAAUGCAUUUAUCUGUCUUUAUGGAGGGAUUGUGAUGUACAGCUGUAUUUUUAUUUUUGCAGGUAUCCAUCUAGUGGAAAAACAAAAUGCUUAUAUUUAAUUUGCUUAUACAGUGUCAUGAAGGAUUUUCAGAAGGAAGAAGAAUAAACCUGCCAAAAAGGAGAGUAUGGAGAAACCAGCUGAACUUUUACAAACUUUUAGUUGCUGCUAAUGUGAGGAAUUAGAAUUCUGAGGAGCCCUAAUCAGAGAGCAGUCCCAUACCCGCCUGACAGCUCUCUCCCACAGAGCUCGCACCCAGUGCACAACCACCACACAACAAAGGCUGGGCACAGAACAGAGGGGCUGAGAGAGACGCCUGAGUACUUCAGGCCUUUGCUGAACACAAAGCAGGAGUCCACUGAGGGCUGGGAGAAAGACAAGGCUGAGAAAAUCCCUCUGAGAAGCACUGAGCCUUCAUCAAAUGCAAAGCAGGAUGAAGAGAGAUCUUCCAAGACAAGGAAAGCCAGGGGUAGAGUUCAGGAGCAAGGUUGACUCCUGACCUACCAAACAUUUGGCAGCUGGGCUAUAAGGCAAAAGGGAAUACAAAAAACUACUCAGUUAACCUAAAGAAGGCAAGAAAGGAGAAAUAAAGACAAAGAACAGAUGAAGAAAUUAGGAAACAAAUUCCAAGAUGGCAGAUUAAACCCAAACAUGUCAAUAAUUACACUAAAUGUAAAUGAACUAAACACUCCACUUAAAGGAAACAACUGUCAACAGGAUAAAAAAAGCAAACCCAACUAUGUUGUUUAGAAGAAAACACUUUAAAUACAAGCAAGUUGCAGUAAAAGAUACAGACAAGUUGAAAG